ACCAGGAGCCAUAUCACCCUGCAACUCACAACUGGCAACCCACUGAAGCUAAGCAGUUGUGAGCCUGGCAGUACCUGGAUUGAAGACCUCCUGGGAAAAACUAAGGUUGCUGCUGGAA
rnacentral:rRNA from 1 species